CUACGGGCGGCUCCAGGCGCGGAACCUCUACAAUGCACGCAAGUGUGAUAGGGGAACCCAAAGUGCUUACACUUUGUGUAGGCUUUUGCCAAGUGUAAAUAACUUGGAGAAUAAGUGGUGGGAAAGACUGGUGCCAGCAGCCGCGGUAACACCAGCGCCACAAGUGGAAAUCGUUUUUAUUGGGCCUAAAGCGUUCGUAGCUGGUUUGACAAGUCUUUUGUGAAAUCGCUGGGCUUAACUCAGCGGCUUGCAAGAGAUACUAUCAUUCUAGGGACCGGGAGGAGCAAGAGGUAUUCCAUGGGGAACGGUAAAAUGUAAUAAUCCAUGGAGGACCACCAGUGGCAAAGGCGUCUUGCUAGAACGGAUUCGACAGUGAGGGACGAAGGCCAGGGGAGCAAAACGGAUUAGAUACCCCGGUAGUC
rnacentral:rRNA from 1 species